GUUGGCAUCUUAAAUAAACCCUAUUUCACGCAACUCCCGGGGGGAGUUCUGCCGGACAGCGUUACGGCCAACGUUACUGAUGUUUGUGCUUGUUAACUUCAAUGAUAACAGUCUUUAAAAGAAAGGAUUUUUAAUUUUGACUGUUUUUGUUCGCUCUACUGGCCGGGAAUCGAUGUUUCUGGUUUCAUGCUGACCGAGGCUCAACCCACACCCAAGAGGAAAACAUAAUUGGCGGUUGAUGUAAGGGCCGCACACGAGAGACCAUGGAGCCACUUAUGUGUUGGCAUACUGCAGAUUGCUAGCCAACUUUGAAUUUAAUCAACAAGGAAUCCAAAUGGUCCAGAGGUGAAAGGUGCAAAACCCGGAAAUGCGACACAAUCUUCCAGAUCGAGAAAAACCCAGGUGGACGGCCGAGCGUUCCCUCUCCACCUGAAACUCCCUCACUGGAAAAGUGCAGCGUCAACACAUUGAGAUGCCAAGACUUUUCAUUCUUCAUCUAAAAUGAAAUUGCACGGAGUGAUUAAGCUAAUACCACUUAAGUUGUUUUAAAAAUUUACAUCUAUUCACGGUUGACUUCAGGUGGUAGAAAGAAGGGCCUCCACACAUGCAUGUGUAUUCCUUUAUAUAUAUAUAUUUUUCAAAUGUACAACAUCAGCCCUCUCUCUAUAACAUAGAAUGUAUAUAACCCAUGCCUCCGUGCAACAGGGGAAAGUGGGUGUCUCUGUGGUCUCCGUCUCUGCCCUCUGUGUCUCCUGUGGGCCAAUUCCCAGUGACAUUCUGCCAAACCCCAAGGUAGCAAGCCAUGAAAAUGAGUGUGUUGCCCUGUGGGUUUAAAAAAAGACAUGUUUUGAUCCAUCCUCUUCGACUAUUCCUUCCCAUGCUUGUUCUCCUAUCUACAGAAUUAGUUCUGUGGGGUAGAGUGGAAAUUAAAGUUCAAUCACUUAGGUUUUCUGCUACCUUACCAUUAUUGCUACCAAAAGGGCUGCAAAUUAAGAUUCUCCUUGUCUCUCUGCAACCACUUGGAGACUGAAAAUUGUGUCACAGGGGACAUGAUGCAGUAAUUUGUGGCGUACAUAAAUAUGAU
ensembl:lncRNA